GAUGAACGCUGGCGGCGUGCCUAAUACAUGCAAGUCGAGCGAACAGACGAUGCUCUUGCUCCUCUGACGUUAGCGGCGGACGGGUGUGUAACACGUGUAUAACCUCCCUAUCAUACUGAGAUCACUUCGGGAAACCGGCUCUUAUACCGUAUAAUCUCUUGAACCGCAUGGUUCAAUAGUGAAAGUCGGUUUUUCUGUCUCUUCUCGCUGCUUCCGCGCCGUAUUAGCUAGUUGGUACGGUAACGGCUUACCAAGGCAACGAUGCGUAGACGACGGGAGAGGGGGGUAGGCCACACGGGAACGGGAACAGGGACAAGACUACUACGGGAGGCAGCAGAAGGGAACCUUACGCAGUGGGCGAAAGCAUGACGGAGCAACGCCGCGUGAGUGAUGAAGGUGUUCGGAUCGUAAAAAUCUGUUAUUAGGGAAGAACAAAUGUGUAAGGAAAUAUGCACGGAUUGACGGUACCGAAUCAGAAAGCAACGGCUAACUACGUG
rnacentral:rRNA from 1 species